AACGGCCGUACCAUGCUGAAUAUACCAGUUGUCGUUUAGAUCACCGAAGUUAAGCAUCAUUGGGCGCGGUCAGUACUUGGGUGGGUGACCACCUGGGAACACUGCGUGCCGUU
rnacentral:rRNA from 1 species